rnacentral:rRNA from 1 species
ACGGGUAAGUAAUACAUCGGAAUGUACCUUGUAGUGGGGGAUAGCUCGGCGAAAGCCGGAUUAAUACCGCAUACGCUCUGAGGAGGAAAGCGGGGGACCUUCGGGCCUCGCGCUACAAGAGCAGCCGAUGUCAGAUUAGCUAGUUGGUGGGGUAAAAGCUCACCAAGGCGACGAUCUGUAGCUGGUCUGAGAGGACGACCAGCCACACUGGGACUGAGACACGGCCCAGACUCCUACGGGAGGCAGCAGUGGGGAAUUUUGGACAAUGGGCGAAAGCCUGAUCCAGCAAUGCCGCGUGUGUGAAGAAGGCCUUCGGGUUGUAAAGCACUUUUGUCCGGAAAGAAAUCCUCUGGGUUAAUACCUCGGGGGGAUGACGGUACCGGAAGAAUAAGCACCGGCUAACUACGUGCCAGCAGCCGCGGUAAUACGUAGGGUGCAAGCGUUAAUCGGAAUUACUGGGCGUAAAGCGUGCGCAGGCGGUUUUGUAAGACGGAUGUGAAAUCCCCGGGCUUAACCUGGGAACUGCAUUCGUGACUGCAAGGCUAGAGUAUGGCAGAGGGGGGUAGAAUUCCACGUGUAGC